rnacentral:piRNA from 1 species
UGUUCGAUUCUUUUUGGUACACAAAGACUC